UUCUUCUCUUCGUCGUGCGACACCCGCCGCGUCCACAUCGCCCGGUCCGGCGUUACUUAUUCGUGGUCUUCCGCCAUGGACGACGACGCCCAAUACCAGUCAAUCCAAGACUACGCCCGCCCAACCGAUCUUCCAUGCAGGGCACAGCCUCCUGGGAUUAAUCACAUUGCGUCUCAAGUGACGGCGGCGAGGACAUUUGGCACGCUCGAUUGCGCUGUUGUGGCGAUCCGACACCCGCGGGUGUAGGUCUUAACUUAGGAUGCCUCCUAUUGCUACAUGGUGCAUUGCCAGUAAUUUCAAAAUAUUGAAAGAGGUUGGAUGCCAAAGACAAGAAAAAAGAUUUGGGACGAGAAGUGGUUGAAUUUGAUGUUUUUGAAUGAAUGCACAAAAGAAAGCAAGGUAGUGAGUUUGUUGACAACAAAUCGGUGUCCGUGAAGAAAAGCUUAUCGAGAAAGGUAGGAAAACCGAAGAAAAUCUCAAGAAGAUGGUUCGUAGGAUAAUUUAAGAGAUUUGUGUACUUAAAAUAUCACAAAUAACGGGGAAGUUAUUAUGGAGUUGAAGGCCGCUGGCGCUUCAUGGAUUCAAUUUGAAGAGCCAACCCUUGUUCUGGAUCUUCAGUCCUAUCAGUUAGAGGCAUUCACAAAGGCUUACUCCGAACUAUAAUCAUCUCUGUCAGGCUUGAGUGUGCUCAUCGAGACUUACUUUACUGAUGUCCCUGCAGAAGCAUAUAAGAUUGUCACUGCUUUGAAUGGUGUCUCGGGUUUUGGUUUUGACCUUGGACUUGAUCAAGACUACAAGCUUCCCUGCUGGCAAAUAUCUUUUUGCAGGAGUUGUUGAUGGAAGGAACAUUUCGGCAAAUGAUCUUGCAUCCUCUCUCAGCAUACUUGAGACUUUUGAGGCCAUUGUUGGCAAAGGUAAUCAUCCCUUGUGUUUUUUCCUGUAUAAUCAUCUUUCUUUUUAAUAUGCAGAUGAUGGUAUUUGAUGUUUGCUUACAUACAAGCUUGUUGUCUCUACAUCUUGCUAACUCAUGCACGCUGACCUUGUCAAUGAGUCACAAUUGGACAGUGAGAUUAAAUCAUAACUUGCAUUUGCUGCUCAAAAAGUGAUCGAAGUAAAUUCAUUACCUAAAGUAUUGGCCGGUUAGAAGGAUGAGGCUCAAAAAGUGAUUGAAGUAAAUGCAUUGCCUAAAGUGUUGACUUGUCAGAAGGAUGAGGCUUUCUUUUCAGCUAAUGCUGCUGCAGUCUUCAAGAAAGUCAUCUCCUAGGGUGACCAAUGAAGAAGCUUAAAAAGCUGUGGGUAGCUUAAGCUAUGGUUGAUUUGUGGUUUGUCAUGCCUUAAGCAUUCAGUGCUGGCGUUGUAAGCUGCUGCUUUGAAGGGUUCUGACCAUCGCCGAGACACAAAUCCCUCAAUACCCUCUUCUGAUCGAGUAUUGGAUCCUCGUUGAAUUUGGAGGAAAUUAUCAUCCGUAAUUAUUACACCUACGUAUUUAUAAGGAUAAUUGAAUCAUGGAUCCUGAGGUCAUUUGUUUUAAUGAAUUUUUGAGCUUGUGCCAACAGAUUGAUGCCCGCAUGUGCUACUCAAACUUAAACGACAUCAUUCACUCCAUCAUUGACAUGGAUGCCGAUGUGAUCAUGAUUGAGAACUCUAAGUCCGACGAGCAACUCCUAUCGGUGUUCCGAGAGGGAGUCAAGUAUGGUGCUGGUAUCAGCCCAAUUUUCUCCUGAUAACGUUGUUCUUGUUCUUGGUUAGAAUUUUCUCCUAAUAACGUUGUUAUUGUCAAUGAGCUUGUCUUAGAAUUCUUUUUACUCUUUUUCUUGUGAUUCCUAGUGGUGCAUUGUGGGCUUUUCCUAGGCUGAGAGAACCCCAAACAUAGUAGCUCAACCUAUGAUGCCGGCUUGAUUCU